rnacentral:rRNA from 1 species
GGUAAAGGCUUACCAAGCCUACGAUCUGUAGCUGGUCUGAGAGGACGACCAGCCACACUGGGACUGAGACACGGCCCAGACUCCUACGGGAGGCAGCAGUGGGGAAUUUUGGACAAUGGGCGAAAGCCUGAUCCAGCAAUGCCGCGUGCAGGAUGAAGGCCUUCGGGUUGUAAACUGCUUUUGUACGGAACGAAAAGGCGCCUACUAAUACUGGGUGUUGAUGACGGUACCGUAAGAAUAAGCACCGGCUAACUACGUGCCAGCAGCCGCGGUAAUACGUAGGGUGCGAGCGUUAAUCGGAAUUACUGGGCGUAAAGCGUGCGCAGGCGGUGUUGUAAGACAGUUGUGAAAUCCCCGGGCUCAACCUGGGAACUGCAUCUGUGACUGCAAUGCUGGAGUGCGGCAGAGGGGGAUGGAAUUCCGCGUGUAGCAGUGAAAUGCGUAGAUAU